CAGUAGCCGCGGUAAAACAGAGGGUGCGAGCGUUAAUCGGAUUUACUGGGCGUAAAGCGUGCGUAGGCGGCUUCUUAAGUCGGAUGUGAAAUCCCUGAGCUUAACUUAGGAAUUGCAUUCGAUACUGGGAAGCUAGAGUAUGGGAGAGGAUGGUAGAAUUCCAGGUGUAGCGGUGAAAUGCGUAGAGAUCUGGAGGAAUACCGAUGGCGAAGGCAGCCAUCUGGCCUAAUACUGACGCUGAGGUACGAAAGCAUGGGGAGCAAACAGGAUUAGAUACCCCAGUAGUCCCUGUCUCUUAUAC
rnacentral:rRNA from 1 species